GCAGCCCACAAGGCCUUUACUGACGCUAAAGCUCGAAGGUGCGGGUAUCGAACAGGAUUAGAUACCCUGGUAGUCCGCACGGUAAACGAUGGAUGCCCGCUGUUGGCGAUACAAUGUCAGCGGCCAAGCGAAAGCGUUAAGCAUCCCACCUGGGGAGUACGCCGGCAACGGUGAAACUCAAAGGAAUUGACGGGGGCCCGCACAAGCGGAGGAACAUGUGGUUUAAUUCGAUGAUACGCGAGGAACCUUACCCGGGCUUGAACUGCAGCAGAACGAUUCAGAGAUGAAGAGGCCCUUCGGGGCUGCUGUGGAGGUGCUGCAUGGUUGUCGUCAGCUCGUGCCGUGAGGUGUCGGCUUAAGUGCCAUAACGAGCGCAACCCCUUUCAUUAGUUGCCAUCAGGUAGAGCUGGGCACUCUGGUGAUACUGCCACCGUAAGGUGUGAGGAAGGUGGGGAUGACGUCAAAUCAGCACGGCCCGACGUGCGGUGUGUACACACCUGUUACAAUGGGUGGUACAGAGAGUCAGUGGGUCGCAAGACCAUUCAAUCAUGAAAGCCAUCCUCAGUUCGGAAUCGGGUUGCAACCCGACGCCACGAAGCU
rnacentral:rRNA from 1 species